AGCGUGUCUAAUGAGAAGAUAAGAAUUGGUGUGGGAAAGACACACAACUUGUUAUCGUCAGUUUCCUAUCAGCUUCUC
ensembl:ncRNA C07G1.10 ncRNA